ACAAUGUCUCAAUUCUAGAAAAUUUCCCAAAUGGAAAGGAAGUUCUUCGAGUACAAGCUGUUGACAAAGAUGAGGGAGGCUUCCAGGGAAUGUUCAGUCUUACUCCAGCUGAUAGUCCCUUCCAGAUAAGUCAAGGUGGGAUUCUAACUGUGAGGAACUCCACACUGUUGGAUAGGGAGCAAAUACCAUCUAUUCAUCUACAGGUCACUGCCAGAGAUCAUUUGUCACCUUACGAUGAGGCACAAUCUGC